rnacentral:lncRNA from 1 species
UGACGAUGGCAGUGGUUUGUGUGCACGUAAAUCCAAAUUAGACUAUAUGUACGGGGUGUUACAUGUGUAAUCUAUGAUGUAUGUCUUUGUUUGUACUAUCUUUCCGUCUGACUGAUGAAAUUACUUCAAUAAAUCAUCUAUUCGAGCCACUAGGAUUUACAGAUACAUUAGUGAUUGAAUUGAUUGUUAAUGGGACGACUCAAUAAUGUUUGAUGGUACUUUUAGAAAAUUGCCGAUUUAAAAGGCUUAAGCAUAUAAAUAAAC